AAUGGGAUAGCUGGGCCAAAUGGUGGUUUCAUUCCUGGUUUUACAAGAAAUCUUCAUACUGCUUUCCAUAUUGGCUGCACCAAUUUGCAGUCCCACCAGCAAU
rnacentral:pre_miRNA from 1 species